AGCUCCAUCAUCUUUUUCCACCGACAUUGCUGCCUUCUGAAAAAUUUUUAAAACAAAUUAUGAGAUUUAAAAAUGUAACUUUAAGAAUCAUUUGACGCGAAUUUCAUUGAAACAAAGACAGGGCCAAAGAAUAAGUGAUCACUUACCACGAGAAAAGAAUCAGAAAAGAUAGACCGUCUAGCAAGCAGCAACUUCAGCUGAGAUCAGCAACUGAGUACUGAGCAACGUAAUUACUAAAACUAAAUAGUAUAUUACAAAAUAAUAGGUGUGUAAUAUUAAUAAAA